rnacentral:rRNA from 1 species
AUUGAACGCUGGCGGCAUGCCUUACACAUGCAAGUCGAACGGCAGCGGACCUUCGGGUGCCGGCGAGUGGCGAACGGGUGAGUAAAGUAUCGGAACGUACCUUUCAGUGGGGGAUAACGUAGCGAAAGUUACGCUAAUACCGCAUAUUCUGUGAGCAGGAAAGCAGGGGAUCGCAAGACCUUGCGCUGAUUGAGCGGCCGAUGUCAGAUUAGCUAGUUGGUGAGGUAAAGGCUCACCAAGGCGACGAUCUGUAGCGGGUCUGAGAGGAUGAUCCGCCACACUGGAACUAAGACCCGGCCCAGACUCCUACGGGAGGCAGCAGUGGGGAAUUUUGGACAAUGGGGGCAACCCUGAUCCAGCCAUGCCGCGUGAGUGAAGAAGGCCUUCGGGUUGUAAAGCUCUUUCGGCCGGGAAGAAAUCGCACAGGCUAAUACCUUGUGUGGAUGACGGUACCGGAAUAAGAAGCACCGGCUAACUACGUGCCAGCCGCCGCGGUAACAC